rnacentral:rRNA from 1 species
GACGAACGCUGGCGGCGUGCUUAACACAUGCAAGUCGAACGGAAAGGCCCUGCUUUUGUGGGGCGCUCGAGUGGCGAACGGGUGAGUAACACGCGAGUAACAUGCCCUUGACUUUGGGAUAACUUCUGGAAACUGGGGAUAAUACCGGAUAGGAGCUCCUGCUGCAUGGUGGGGGUUGGAAAGUUUCGGCGGUUGGGGAUGGUCUCGAGGCUUAUCGGCUUGUUGGUGGGGUAGUGGCUUACCAAGGGUUUGACGGAUAGCCGGCCUGGGAGGGUGACCAGGCACAAUGGUACUAAGGGAGGGCCCAGACGCCAACGGGAGGCAGCGGGGGGAAAUAUGGCGCAGUGAGGGGGAGUCAGUGGCGGCAGCCCCGCGUGCGUAAUAACGGCCUUCUGGUGGAAAACCACUUUCGCCGGUAACAAGGCGUGAUUGACGGUAAUUGAUAAGAAAGCACCGGCUAACUACGUG